rnacentral:rRNA from 1 species
GUCCGCAAGGCUGAAAAUUCAAAGGAAUUGACGGGGGCCCGCACAAGCGGUGGAGCAUGUGGUUUAAUUAGAAGCAACGCGAAGAACCUUACCAGGUCUUGACAUCCUCUGACACUCCUAGAGAUAGGAUUUUCCCCUUCGGGGGACAGAGUGACAGGUGGUGCAUGGUUGUCGUCAGCUCNUGUCGUGAGAUGUUGGGUUAAGUCCCGCAACGAGCGCAACCCUUGAUCUUAGUUGCCAGCAUUCAGUUGGGCACUCUAAGGUGACUGCCGGUGACAAACCGGAGGAAGGUGGGGAUGACGUCAAAUCAUCAUGCCCCUUAUGACCUGGGCUACACACGUGCUACAAUGGAUGGUACAAAGGGCAGNGAAGCCGCGAGGUGGAGCCAAUCCCAUAAAACCAUUCUCAGUUCGGAUUGCAGGCUGCAACUCGCCUGCAUGAAGCCGGAAUCGCUAGUAAUCGCGGAUCAGCAUGCCGCGGUGAAUACGUUCCCAGGCCUUGUACCUCACCGCCCGUCACACCACGAGAGUUUGUAACACCCGAAGU